ACUCCGAAACUGCAUUCGAUACUGCCGUGCUUGAGGACUGGAGAGGAGACUGGAAUUUACGGUGUAGCGGUGAAAUGCGUAGAUAUCGUAAGGAAGACCAGUGGCGAAGGCGGGUCUCUGGACAGUUCCUGACGCUGAGGCACGAAGGCCAGGGGAGCAAACGGGAUUAGAUACCCCGGUAGUCCUGGCAGUAAACGGUGCACGUUUGGUGUGGGAGGAUUCGACCCCUUCUGCGCCGGAGCUAACGCGUUAAACGUGCCGCCUGGGGAGUACGGUCGCAAGAUUAAAACUCAAAGAAAUUGACGGGGGCCCGCACAAGCGGUGGAGUAUGUGGCUCAAUUCGAUGCAACGCGAAGAACCUUACCAGGCCUUGACAUGCAUCUCUAAGCUGGUGAAAGCCAGUGAGUCCCG
rnacentral:rRNA from 1 species